AACGCACCUUGCACCCUUUGGCAUUCCGAAGGGUAUGCUCGUUUGAGUGUCAUUGUACUCUCACACUCCCGAUCGUUCGAUUGGGAGCGGUGGACUUGGGUGUUGCUGCUUGCCGUGGCUCACCUCAAAUGGGUUCGUGCACCUCUUGGUUGGACAUAGUACGGCGUGAUAAGUGUCUUCGCCGGCGCCUCAGUAGAGGGUGGCCGAUCGGGAGCUCUGUGCUUCCAACCGUCCUCGGACAACGACUGACAACUUGACCUCAAAUCGAGUAGGACCACCCGCUGAACUUAAG
rnacentral:misc_RNA from 1 species